GAGGAAUUGAUUUUCCUUCAUUGUCAAGGGGGGUACUGUACAUGAUUGUCAGAGUGCCCAUUUGUUUUUUUUUGGCUGCUCAUCAUCUGAAUAUUCUUCCACUUUUUAGGAUUGUCCCUCAAAUGGCAGCCAGACUUUCUCCACCAGGAUUGUCUCAGCUCCCACUUGGCACUUGGUGCUGGUGAUCCACUAAGAUGCAGUAGAAACCAAGAAGAAUCUGAAAAGUUGAGCCAAAACAAUAUCCGUGGCAGCAGAGUGAAGAAGAAAAGGACCUAGGGCCAUGGGUAGUAACAGAGGGAUAUGCUGUUUGUUCAGCAUAUCAGAUGACUUUGCUGGUGACCCACCAUUCUAGGAUUAUUCCCUAGGUCAAGUGAGAAGGACAUUCAGGAAGAGUAUCGUUAUAUAGCAUUAGAUGUAUGGAGUUGUUUAGGAAAGACCUUUGAUAAUGAUAUAAUGGAAAGGUGUAGCCAUGUAGCCAGACAAAUGCCUCCUAAUCUUUAUAAAAAUUGGAAGGGUGUCUGAAUUUGGUAAUAUCUACA
rnacentral:lncRNA from 10 species